ACGCUCGACACCUACGGGAGGCAGCAGUGGGGAAUAUUGCACAAUGGGGGAAACCCUGAUGCAGCGACGCCGCGUGAGUGAAGAAGUAAUUCGUUAUGUAAAGCUCUAUCAGCAGGGAAGAAAGUGACGGUACCUGAGUAAGAAGCCCCGGCUAACUACGUGCAAGCAGCCGCGGUAAUCUGAGGCGGGCUGGCAAGGC
rnacentral:rRNA from 1 species